UGCAUUUCCUAUCUCGGGCCACUGCUUCGCCAGGAGGGAGGGAGGAAGGGAGGGAAAGAUGGCUUGAACCUUGAAGGACUGACAAAUGUAAUGAGGCACAGAGGGACACCUGUACGUCUGUGCUUUACUCACACCAUGUAUUUUUUCAGCUCACUUUUUUUUUUUCUCUCGCCAUAUGACUACAAUGAUGUGACACCUCUUUUUUAAAUCAAUCUUCUUUAUUCAGCUUCCCGUUCAACUGUUUCGAUUGAGGCUUUUCCAAGUGUUUGUCUUGCUCCAUUCUUUCGCUUAUUCCUUUGUCUCUCGUGUGUUCUUUCAUGCAACUCACUACUGGGGCUUAUUAAAGUAUUCAGUCCCUCAAAUGAAAGAGAAUGGACAUUUGACGAACGCAUUUUCUUCACUCUUUAGCUUCUUUGAAUCCAUUGCUUCAUGAGUCCCCGAACGCUGCUCAUUGUUGAUCCGAGUCAGAAGGUGGCGGUAGUGAUGUUAGCCCUCUUGCUGUGUGCGAAUGUAAUGGAGGUGAUGCGUGGAGGUGCUGAUAGCUUGUGCGUGGUGGUGAGCGAAGCGAGGAUGCUGCAACUUGACUCCUGGGAAGGCGGUGGUGGUGGUGCGUGGCGGCGCGGAAGGUUUGUGCUUGGUGGUGUUGCGUGGCGGUGCUGAUGGUUGGUGGUUGAUGGUGAGCAAGGCGAGGAUAAUGCAACUUGACUCGAGAUUCUUUGGUGGUGAGGCAGAGGUGGAAAUUUAACAGUGCAGUUGACAAGAAGUUACGUGGUGUUCGUUUGGACCUUUACAUAAUCCGGACUACCAGAGAUGGGCGGGACGGGACCACUAAACUUUGACUGACGAUCGUUCCCAAGAAGCUCAUCUGACGUCUCUGGUCCCCCUCAAUCCCCUCGUUCCUGGAGGCAGCCCACCGCGCACCUUUGAACGCUGGCCGGUAGAGGGGCUUCUCCGGGGGACGCAUCGCCUUCUUGGAGCUGCCGGGGUGACUUGAGUUCUCCCGCCCGAGGAACCGAGAGCCCAUGAGAGAGAGCCGCAUCCACCGCCACGCCCGAGUCACGAACACCUGUUGGGGAGAAGGAAGUACUGUGUUAGGAGACGCUGUUACGCUCCGUCACUACCGAAUCUCGCUGGACAAAAGCAAAGAAAACGGGUGGCUGAAGGGGGGACAGAGGAAAUGGCAAGAACGUUCUGCCAGUGAAUCUCUCAGAGAGAAGGUUGCCACACGCCGCAAUGUGAGCUGACGGAGGUGGCGGAAUCUAGACGGAACCAAAGAGAGAGAGAGAGAGAGAGGUUGUCUUAUUGAGUGUGCUAAACAAACCCAUGCUAGACAUUUCCUUCAUCCUCAACAAACAAUUACAGGGAGCGGCGCGCCACACACACACCACACACGCCACACACCCACGCCAUCACCUCCAUCAGCGCCAGCAGGAGGAGGAGGAGGAGGAGGACGGUCAGGUAAGGAGGGAAGGUGGUCUUGCACACUUGAGGAGGGAAGGAGAGGGAGAGGAGAGGAGGGAAGCAAGGAGGAGGAAAGGGAUAAAAAUUCACUUUAUCUCCUUUUUUUUUUACUUCCAUUUCCUUAAAACCCAGAAAUUUAAAGUCCACAAUGGUAUUUUUGGGGUUGGCAGGGUUGAAUAAGUCGGUUGUUUACGUAGGAGGGAUGAAAACAGUGCUAACCCUUCCUCUUUUACGUUUUCUUUUCCUUACAUGCUCUAGAAAAUUAAAUUCCAUAGUUAUAGUUUUUUAUUCGCGUGGGAAGGGAAUCUGAAUAAUUUGGCCAUACGUACAUGAAAGAUAUGGAAUAACUGUUUAUCCUGCUUCUUUUAAGGUUUCUUCUUUUCAUUAGAUAAAAAAAAAAUAUAAAGAAAUUAAAACUCCAGUGGUACUUAUUAUUUGUUUUAAGGAAAGGAAAAUCAUUAGGCCAUACAUUGUAGAGGAGAUGAAGAUAAUGUCUAUAUUUUUUCUCUUAAGGUUUCUUCUUUUCCUUACAUAAAAAAAAAUAAAUAAUGAUUGUACGGUAUUUAAAACUCAAGUGAUAGUUUUUAUUUUUUUUUUUUUUUUACGGAAGGAAGAAGAAUUUACUGCUAUUUUAGUAUACCAGUGAAGGAUACUGUAGGAUAUUACGUUACUUAUCAAAACUCACCUUCCAGUCCCCUUUCCAUGCCCUCCUGUAGCGAAUGAAAGGCUAUUACUGUAGAAUACCACCGAAAGACACUCUAGAACAUCACGAACACUAAUCAAAACCACACCUCCCAUUUUUUCUCCAUGGCCUCCUGUAUACAAAGACUGCUACCCUACGCAGGACAUCACCAAAGGACACAAAAAAUAUUACUUAACUUGCCAAAACAUACCCUACAUUUUCUCCUUACGAACAAGUACCGAGAGGAAAAGUUGAAAAGAAAUUUGAAGAGAGGGUUCAAGAGUACGUGAAAAAAAAAGUACUUGUAAAAAUAAAUAUCUUAAGUGUAGGACUGACUGAAGGAGGAAGGAAAUAAAACAUCUGGAAAGUUUUGAUCGGUGAGGCAAAAAGUGUUAAGCGUCACAGCGGGAAUUUUGCGAGUGGAAGAGGAGGGGGAGGAGGAGGAGGAGGAGGGGGAAGGCGUGGGUGUGGGUGUGGGAGGCGAGGAAGGGGAAGUGUGAGGCGCCCUUUGGUGAGGUAGACUUUAAUAAUGCUAUGUGUGGGGUGUGGAGGGUGGUGAAUGAUGUGUGUGUGUGUGUGUGUUUGUGUGGGUGUGUGUGGAAGGGUGCGUGGGUGGAUGUCUGUCUGUCUGUCUGACUGACUGACUUUAUUCGUCUUUCUGCCUCUCUCUCUCUC